GAUGAACGCUGGCGGCGUGCCUAAUACAUGCAAGUCGAGCGAACGGACGAGAAGCUUGCUUCUCUGAUGUUAGCGGCGGACGGGUGAGUAACACGUGGAUAACCUACCUAUAAGACUGGGAUAACUUCGGGAAACCGUAGCUAAUACCGGAUAAUAUUUUGAACCGCAUGGUUCAAAAGUGAAAGACGGUCUUGCUGUCACUUAUAGAUGGAUCCGCGCUGCAUUAGCUAGUUGGUACGGUAACGGCUUACCAAGGCAACGAUGCAUAGCCGACCUGAGAGGGUGAUCGGCCACACUGGAACUGAGACACGGUCCAGACUCCUACGGGAGGCAGCAGUAGGGAAUCUUCCGCAAUGGGCGAAAGCCUGACGGAGCAACGCCGCGUGAGUGAUGAGGGUCUUCGGAUCGUAAAACUCUGUUAUUAGGGAAGAACAUAUGUGUAAGUAACUGUGCACAUCUUGACGGUACCUAAUCAGAAAGCCACGGCUAACUACGUG
rnacentral:rRNA from 1 species